GGAUUCUAUCAGUUUGCUAAAAGAUUUGAUCUUUAAGCUUUAGUUUUCUUUUUUCUUGUAUAAGAAGGGUACAUGUUCCUGCAAGGAAGUCAAAACAUCUUUUUAAACAGAAAAUAUUUAUCGAUAGGCUAUGAAAAGCAGCACCAAAUGAGGCAGACAUUUAGAUUGGGUGUUCCAGUUGUGAGUCAGCCUUAGGGCCAUGGUGAGUGGCUGGGUUCUGUUCAUGUUAUGAAUGGGUUUUGCCUCCUGCUGCCUAGUUUUCUAACUUUGUCUUUAGUGCAAGUUUUCCCGGGUGGACCCACCCAUUCUCGACGAUGUGCGCUGCCUGGUCCUAUUGGAAAAUGCAGAGCUUGCCCAGGUGCAGGCUCAGACAGGUGUGGGGUGGCUCUGCUCCUCCACCCUGAACCAACAUGGCAUCUCCAUGGAGACCACCCCACACACUGAUCUCACGAGGAUAGCCACACCUGAGCACACAACCUUGGGUAGGGACCAGCUUUUCUUUUCUCUUUGGAAAAGAGAAACUGUGUGGGAGAAGGAUGAUUUUACGUGAGUGAAGCGUUCCCUGGCCCUCACACAGCCCAAGGACUAAUGUCUGCACGGGAGGGCGGUGCUCACGGCAGCCUUGGGGAUGAUGCGUGGACCUUCCAGUGGAGCUUGCCUUGGAAACAGGUCUUCCCAGCCUCAAGGAAAUGGCCAGCUGUCUGCCUCUGGCUGUCCUGUUCCCUCAUCACCAGCUUAGAAAGCCUCCAUGGUGUCAUACCGAAUAAAGUCCAGAUUCCUUCACAGGGGACUGCAGGUGGCCCUCAAGGAACUCCUUGUACCUAAUAUUUUUCCUCACUGCCGGCAAGUAUUAGUUGUUCAAUACUUGUUGAAAUAAGAUGAACUUGUGGCUUCAGAGACCACCAGGUAUGUUAUUAAGAUGUGGCAUCUCUUUCUCAGGAUGUAUGUUUACACGCUGGGUUGAUGGCACAUCACAGCCGGUUUGGGAUUCCCUGGGCAGAGGUCUGCUUGAAACUCUUCUGUAGUCCCUCCCAGAUCCUGAGGUCCUCAUGUGACUUUGCUUGGAGGUGUCCCCUGCUGGGCAGUGGCGCUUGUAUCAGGAAGGUGGGAUUCAGAGACUAAGACCCCGGAGUGCAGGAAGCCAGUGUCUGGAUGAGCAGGUAGGAACUCAGGUGGUAGAAUCAGAGGUGUGGGUGCCAGGAAUCUAGGUGCAUCGUCUGGUCCUACUGGGAUGAGUGGUGAAAUAUAGCAGGCUCCUUAGGAAGGAGCUGGGCUGGGGUCAGCCUGGGUGUUAGAUGGCAGGAGAUCUGAAGGUACCGGGUUCAGUUUGAUUUCUCUUCUCCACUGGUCUCUUUUUUUCUUAAAACAUAAAGGGUGUCUUUGCCCAGUGUGAUUCGUCCACUCCCAGGUAUGGCACAUUCCACAACUCCAGGGCUCUGUGUGAUGCCGCCACUGCCACCCAGUUGCCAGGCCAAGCCCUGACUUUACAGUCUGAAAGCCUAUCAGGCAGAUAAGUCCCUAAUAGGGACUUUGUUUGACCUGCUAGGGUCAGCAGGAAAUUGAGCUAACAUUUUAAAAUUAUGACAUUUUGCCUAAAAUGUCUAUUUCUGGUUUCUUUUUAAAAAAACUGGAAGACCUUGUAAGACUGGGCUUUUUUUCCCUAUAAGGCAGCUCCAAGCUGGAGUCAAGCAGUGGCUGCUUCUGCGGACAGGGCAGGUGGGCACCUGUGUGACAUGGGGGUCUCCUAGCUUACUUCAUUCAUUGACUGUCCUGACCGGUGGCCUGGCCUUAAGGUCACAGUCCAGGAAAAUAUCAUUGAUACAGC
ensembl:lncRNA